rnacentral:rRNA from 1 species
CAAUAGCGUAUAUUAAAGUUGUUGCAGUUAAAAAGCUCGUAGUUGGAUUUCUGAUCGAGACAUCAGGUCGGGUCCGAGAGGAUCAUGUACUUUGAUUUUGUUUUGAUCAUCCUUGGGGAGAGCAUUUCUGGCAUUUAGUUGUCGGGAUUGGGAUCCUCAUCGUUUACUGUGAAAAAAUUAGAGUGUUCAAAGCAGGCCUCGGCCUCUGAAUACAUUAGCAUGGAAUAAUAAGAUAGGACUUUGGUGGUCUAUUUUGUUGGUUUGCACGCCAAAGUAAUGAUUAAUAGGGAUAGUUGGGGGUAUUCGUAUUCAAUUGUCAGAGGUGAAAUUCUUGGAUUUAUGGAAGACGAACUACUGCGAAAGCAUUUACCAAGGAUGUUUUCAUUAA